rnacentral:rRNA from 1 species
UUAAGCGACUAAGCGUACACGGUGGAUGCCCUGGCAGUCAGAGGCGAUGAAGGACGUGCUAAUCUGCGAAAAGCGCCGGCGAGGUGAUAUGAACCCUUGACCCGGCGAUGUCCGAAUGGGGAAACCCAGUGCAAUCCGUUGCACUAUCGUUAACUGAAUACAUAGGUUAACGAGGCGAACCGGGGGAACUGAAACAUCUAAGUACCCCGAGGAAAAGAAAUCAACCGAGAUUCCCCCAGUAGCGGCGAGCGAACGGGGAGCAGCCCGGAGUCUGAAUCAGCUUGUGUGUUAGUGGAACGGUCUGGAAAGUCCGACGGUACAGGGUGAUAGUCCCGUACACGAAAGCACACUUGCUGUGAACUCGAAGAGUAGGGCGGGACACGUGGUAUCCUGUCUGAAUAUGGGGGGACCAUCCUCCAAGGCUAAAUACUCCUGACUGACCGAUAGUGAACCAGUACCGUGAGGGAAAGGCGAAAAGAACCCCGGCGAGGGGAGUGAAAAAGAACCUGAAACCGUGUACGUACAAGCAGUGGGAGCCUCUUUAUGGGGUGACUGCGUACCUUUUGUAUAAUGGGUCAGCGACUUAUAUUCUGUAGCAAGGUUAACCGUAUAGGGGAGCCGAAGGGAAACCGAGUCUUAACUGGGCGUUAAGUUGCAGGGUAUAGACCCGAAACCCGGUGAUCUAGCCAUGGGCAGGUUGAAGGUUGGGUAACACUAACUGGAGGACCGAACCGACUAAUGUUGAAAAAUUAGCGGAUGACCUGUGGCUGGGGGUGAAAGGCCAAUCAAACCGGGAGAUAGCUGGUUCUCCCCGAAAGCUAUUUAGGUAGCGCCUCGUGAACUCAUCUUCGGGGGUAGAGCACUGUUUCGGCUAGGGGGCCAUCCCGGCUUACCAACCCGAUGCAAACUACGAAUACCGAAGAAUGUUAUCACGGGAGACACACGGCGGGUGCUAACGUCCGUCGUGAAGAGGGAAACAACCCAGACCGCCAGCUAAGGUCCCAAAGUCAUGGUUAAGUGGGAAACGAUGUGGGAAGGCACAGACAGCCAGGAUGUUGGCUUAGAAGCAGCCAUCAUUUAAAGAAAGCGUAAUAGCUCACUGGUCGAGUCGGCCUGCGCGGAAGAUGUAACGGGGCUAAACCAUGCACCGAAGCUGCGGCAGCGACGCUUAUGCGUUGUUGGGUAGGGGAGCGUUCUGUAAGCCGUUGAAGGUGUGCUGUGAGGCAUGCUGGAGGUAUCAGAAGUGCGAAUGCUGACAUAAGUAACGAUAAAGCGGGUGAAAAGCCCGCUCGCCGGAAGACCAAGGGUUCCUGUCCAACGUUAAUCGGGGCAGGGUGAGUCGACCCCUAAGGCGAGGCCGAAAGGCGUAGUCGAUGGGAAACAGGUUAAUAUUCCUGUACUUGGUGUUACUGCGAAGGGGGGACGGAGAAGGCUAUGUCAGCCGGGCGACGGUUGUCCCGGUUUAAGCAUGUAGGCGGAGGUUCCAGGUAAAUCCGGUACCUUAUUAACGCUGAGGUGUGAUGACGAGGCACUACGGUGCUGAAGUGAUAAAUGCCCUGCUUCCAGGAAAAGCCUCUAAGCAUCAGGUAACACGAAAUCGUACCCCAAACCGACACAGGUGGUCAGGUAGAGAAUACCAAGGCGCUUGAGAGAACUCGGGUGAAGGAACUAGGCAAAAUGGUGCCGUAACUUCGGGAGAAGGCACGCUGAUGUGUAGGUGAAGUCCCUGCGGACGGAGCUGAAAUCAGUCGAAGAUACCAGCUGGCUGCAACUGUUUAUUAAAAACACAGCACUGUGCAAACACGAAAGUGGACGUAUACGGUGUGACGCCUGCCCGGUGCCGGAAGGUUAAUUGAUGGGGUUAGCGGCAACGCGAAGCUCUUGAUCGAAGCCCCGGUAAACGGCGGCCGUAACUAUAACGGUCCUAAGGUAGCGAAAUUCCUUGUCGGGUAAGUUCCGACCUGCACGAAUGGCGUAAUGAUGGCCAGGCUGUCUCCACCCGAGACUCAGUGAAAUUGAACUCGCUGUGAAGAUGCAGUGUACCCGCGGCAAGACGGAAAGACCCCGUGAACCUUUACUAUAGCUUGACACUGAACACUGGUCCUUGAUGUGUAGGAUAGGUGGGAGGCUUUGAAGCGUGGACGCCAGUCUGCGUGGAGCCNGACCCGUAAUCCGGGUUGCGGACAGUGUCUGGUGGGUAGUUUGACUGGGGCGGUCUCCUCCCAAAGAGUAACGGAGGAGCACGAAGGUUGGCUAAUCCUGGUCGGACAUCAGGAGGUUAGUGCAAUGGCAUAAGCCAGCUUGACUGCGAGCGUGACGGCGCGAGCAGGUGCGAAAGCAGGUCAUAGUGAUCCGGUGGUUCUGAAUGGAAGGGCCAUCGCUCAACGGAUAAAAGGUACUCCGGGGAUAACAGGCUGAUACCGCCCAAGAGUUCAUAUCGACGGCGGUGUUUGGCACCUCGAUGUCGGCUCAUCACAUCCUGGGGCUGAAGUAGGUCCCAAGGGUAUGGCUGUUCGCCAUUUAAAGUGGUACGCGAGCUGGGUUUAGAACGUCGUGAGACAGUUCGGUCCCUAUCUGCCGUGGGCGCUGGAGAAUUGAGGGGGGCUGCUCCUAGUACGAGAGGACCGGAGUGGACGCAUCACUGGUGUUCGGGUUGUCAUGCCAAUGGCACUGCCCGGUAGCUAAAUGCGGAAGAGAUAAGUGCUGAAAGCAUCUAAGCACGAAACUUGCCCCGAGAUGAGUUCUCCCUGAGACUUUAAGUCUCCUGAAGGAACGUUGAAGACGACGACGUUGAUAGGUCGGGUGUGUAAGCGCAGCGAUGCGUUGAGCUAACCGAUACUAAUGAACCGUGAGGCUUAACCUU